rnacentral:rRNA from 6 species
CGUAAUCCGGGUUGCGGACAGUGUCUGGUGGGUAGUUUGACUGGGGCGGUCUCCUCCUAAAGAGUAACGGAGGAGCACGAAGGUUGGCUAAUCCUGGUCGGACAUCAGGAGGUUAGUGCAAUGGCAUAAGCCAGCUUGACUGCGAGCGUGACGGCGCGAGCAGGUGCGAAAGCAGGUCAUAGUGAUCCGGUGGUUCUGAAUGGAAGGGCCAUCGCUCAACGGAUAAAAGGUACUCCGGGGAUAACAGGCUGAUACCGCCCAAGAGUUCAUAUCGACGGCGGUGUUUGGCACCUCGAUGUCGGCUCAUCACAUCCUGGGGCUGAAGUAGGUCCCAAGGGUAUGGCUGUUCGCCAUUUAAAGUGGUACGCGAGCUGGGUUUAGAACGUCGUGAGACAGUUCGGUCCCUAUCUGCCGUGGGCGCUGGAGAACUGAGGGGGGCUGCUCCUAGUACGAGAGGACCGGAGUGGACGCAUCACUGGUGUUCGGGUUGUCAUGCCAAUGGCACUGCCCGGUAGCUAAAUGCGGAAGAGAUAAGUGCUGAAAGCAUCUAAGCACGAAACUUGCCCCGA